rnacentral:rRNA from 1 species
UACGUAGGCAGCGAGCGUUGUUCGGAGUUACUGGGCGUAAAGAGUGCGUAGGCGGUUUUCUAAGUUUGGUGUGAAAUCUCCCGGCUUAACUGGGAGGGUGCGCCGAAAACUGGAAGGCUUGAGUAUGGGAGAGGUAAGCGGAAUUCCUGGUGUAGCGGUGAAAUGCGUAGAUAUCUGGAGGAAUACCGGUGGCGAAGGCGGCAUCCUGGACCGACAUUGACGCUGAACGGCGAAAGCUAGGGGAGCAAACGGG